UGAAGCCGCGAAUGGCUCAUUACAACAGCCAUAGUUUCUUAGAUCUUACUUUUCUACUUGGAUAACUGUGGUAAUUCUAGAGCUAAUACACGCAAACAAGCUCAGACCUUACGGAAUGAGCGCAUUUAUUAGAACAAAAACCAAUCGGAUCUCGGUCCGUCAUUUGGUGAAUCUGAAUAACUUUGCUGAUCGCACGGUCAUCGUACCGGCGACAUAUCUUUCAAAUGUCUGCCUUAUCAACUUUCGAUGGUAGUUUAUGCGCCUACCAUGGUUGUAACGGGUAACGGAGAAUAAGGGUUCGACUCCGGAGAGGGAGCCUGAGAAACGGCUACCACAUCCAAGGAAGGCAGCAGGCACGCAAAUUACCCACUCCCGGCACGGGGAGGUAGUGACGAAAAAUAACGAGACGGCUCGCCAUGCGGUCCGUCAUCGGAAUGGGUACAAUUUAAAUCCUUUAACGAGGAUCUAUU
rnacentral:rRNA from 1 species